UACGUAGGUGGCAAGCGUUAUCCGGAAUUACUGGGCGUAAAGCGUUCGUAGGCUUUCUUGAAAGUCCCUGAUCAAAGACUCGAGCUUAACUCGAGGAAGGUUAGGGAAACUCCAAGAAUAGAAGGGUAUCGAGGUGAGUGGAAUUCCCGGUGUAGCAGUGAAAUGCGUUAAUAUCGGGAGGAACACCAAUGGCGAAGGCAGCUCACUAGGUACUUCUUGACGCUGAGGAACGAAAGCGUGGGGAGCAAAC
rnacentral:rRNA from 1 species